rnacentral:lncRNA from 1 species
GGGGAAGAUCUGCUUCCAAACUCACACACAUGAUUGUUGUCAGGAUUCCGUUCCUCCAGGCUGUUUAAGAGCCUCAGUUCUUCUCCAGCUGUUGGCUGGAGACCUCUCUCAGUUUCUUGCCAUGAGGGCCUCCCCAUGGUGCAGUUCGUAACAUGGCAACUGGCUUCAAUUAGAGCGAGCAAGUGAGAGACCAAGAGAAGAUAAGCGAGAUGCAAGCCAGUGUCCUUUUGCUGUCUAAUCUUAGCGGCAGCAUCCCAUCGCUAUUGUCAUGUUGUAUUCAUUAGAGCAAAUCGCUAGGUCCAACCCACACUCAGGGUUGUGAAUACCAGGAGGAAGGAUCAUCAGAAGCAGUCUUAGAGCUGCCAACCACACUAACCAAAGGGUGUUGCUCCCCAGCUGCGUCAAAUUAGUCAAACGACAUCAUUGGCUACACUGUAUGGAGCUGGAUCCCAGAAGCACCUUUUGAGAAGAAGCUCAAUCCAAAGCGAAGCAGAGGCCAUAACCCCACCACGACCCUGGAAUCUGGAGAGCAUCUCUUAGGAUUCACAUCUUACAAAUGAGAAAACUGAAGGUCAAAAAGCUUUAAAGACUUGCUUAAAAGUCUCAUCACCUGAAGAUAAAACCAGUUAUAAAACAGAGGCCUGUGGACCGCCAGUCCUUUGAUCUGAGGCACAUGGCCUUGAACUGCCAAAGUGUAAUUCUCUGGGUAAGGGAAAUGCAGCUAUAGAUAUGGAGAUAUGAAGUGACUUGUU